GUGGUAAUGGAUGGGCAUGCGUUGUAUUAGUUAGUUGGUGGGGUAACGGCUCACCAAGACAACGAUACAUAGGGGGACUGAGAGGUUAACCCCCCACAUUGGUACUGAGACACGGACCAAACUCCUACGGGAGGCAGCAGUGAGGAAUAUUGGUCAAUGGACGCAAGUCUGAACCAGCCAUGCCGCGUGCAGGAAGACGGCUCUAUGAGUUGUAAACUGCUUUUGUACGAGGGUAAACGCAGAUACGUGUAUCUGUCUGAAAGUAUCGUACGAAUAAGGAUCGGCUAACUCCGUGCCAGCAGCCGCGGUAAUACGGAGGAUUCAAGCGUUAUCCGGAUUUAUUGGGUUUAAAGGGUGCGUAGGCGGUCGGAUAAGUUAGAGGUGAAAUCCCGGGGCUCAACUUCGGAAUUGCCUCUGAUACUGUUCGGCUAGAGAGUAGUUGCGGUAGGCGGAAUGUAUGGUGUAGCGGUGAAAUGCUUAGAGAUCAUACAGAACACCGAUUGCGAAGGCAGCUUACCAAGCUACUUCUGACGUUGAGGCACGAAAGCGUGGGGAGCAAACAGGAUUAGAUACCCUGGUAGUCCACGCAGUAAACGAUGAUAACUCGUUGUCGGCGAUACAGUGUCG
rnacentral:rRNA from 1 species